GGCUUGUUGAUUAUAAUUUCAGGUCGGACCUGCCCACUGAGUGAUUAAAUGGCCGCGGUAUAUUGACCGUGCAAAGGUAGCAUAAUCAUUAGUUUUUUAAUUGAAAGCUUGUAUGAAAGGUUAGAUGAGAAAAUUUCUGUCUCUAGAAAAAUUGUUUAGAAUUUUAUUUUUAAGUGAAAAAGCUUAAAUGAAAAUAGAAGACGAGAAGACCCUAUAGAGUUUUAUAUUUGUAAAAAUAGGUUAAUAUUUUAGGGUUUUAUUUAUUUAAUUUUUAGGAAUAUUUGAUUGGGGUGAUUAGAAAAUUGAAGUAACUUUUCUUUAUGCAACCAUUAAUUUAUGUAUUUAUGAUCCUUAUAUUAAGAUUAGAAGACAAAAUUACCUUAGGGAUAACAGCGUAAUCCCUUUUAGAGUUCUUAUCGAAAAGGGGGGUUGCGACCUCGAUGUUGGAUUAAAAUUUGUUGUUGGUGUAGAAGCUGAUAUAUUGGGUCUGUUCGACCUUUAAAAUUUUACAUGAUCUGAGUUUAAACCGGUGUGAG
rnacentral:rRNA from 1 species